rnacentral:rRNA from 1 species
UGGCUCAGAUUGAACGCUGGCGGCAGGCCUAACACAUGCAAGUCGAGCGGAUGAAGAGAGCUUGCUCUCUGAUUCAGCGGCGGACGGGUGAGUAAUGCCUAGGAAUCUGCCUGGUAGUGGGGGACAACGUCUCGAAAGGGACGCUAAUACCGCAUACGUCCUACGGGAGAAAGCAGGGGACCUUCGGGCCUUGCGCUAUCAGAUGAGCCUAGGUCGGAUUAGCUAGUUGGUGAGGUAAUGGCUCACCAAGGCGACGAUCCGUAACUGGUCUGAGAGGAUGAUCAGUCACACUGGAACUGAGACACGGUCCAGACUCCUACGGGAGGCAGCAGUGGGGAAUAUUGGACAAUGGGCGAAAGCCUGAUCCAGCCAUGCCGCGUGUGUGAAGAAGGUCUUCGGAUUGUAAAGCACUUUAAGUUGGGAGGAAGGG